AACUAUUUCCUAACAACAGACGCUGACGCUACUGCCACAAGUCUGCUCAAUCAAGCUGUUAAAAAAAUGAAGGACUUUAACAAAGAUCUAAAAGAUGGACCUUUCCUUCUUCUGUAUCCGGAUGGCACUGAGGUCAUUACUGUCCCUGGAACACAAAGACCAUUUACACUUGAGGCUUAUAAGGCUGAAGUUGGCAAGCCUUAUCAAAGAAUCACUGUUUUCAUCUGCUUGAAGAGUGACUUUGAAGAUGUUGGAGAAAACUCAGACUUGUCUGACUCUGACCCAGAGAUUGUUAUUAAAAGGCCCUCUGAGUUUGAUCUUGCUGAUACACUGCCAUUGGAACUUCAACAUGAAAGCAGUCCUUUACAGAAAGCGGCAGAAUAUGAGAAGGGUGCUGGGGAUCUUGUGCUUGCUAAUGAAGUACAACAGAGACACCAAUUUGCAGGCACAUGGAAUUAUUGCAAAUUUGGCACUGGAACUUGACCACAAGAAGGUCAGCAGGUUCAAUAUAUCAAGGUCAGCUGUAUGGGAUGGAGCUGUUAGAGGAUUUCGACGCAGCACAUACUCUGACAACUACGACAUGUUCAUCAAGUUUAAUGAUGAUGCUGGCAGCUUUGAAGAAGGUUUGGAUACAGGUGGCCCGAGGCGUGAAUUCCUCACACUUCUUAUGGGCAGUCUGUGAAAUCGCCCCAUCUUUGAUGGACCUCCAGAGAGCCGUUAUCUUGUAUAUAAUUCAAGAGCUGCCAGGCAAGAUGAGUACUUUUUAGCAGGAAAGAUGAUCGCUGUAUCCAUUGUGCAUGGGGGACCAGCACCACAUUUCCUCUCCAAGAACCUGGUCAACCACAUCACAGGGAAUCAGAGUUUCAGCGCCACUGUAGAAGAUGUGCAAGAUGAGGAGAUCACAAAAAUUUUACAUCAGGUCCUGAAAGCUGAAUCAGAGGAGUCUUUGCAUAAUCUUAUUUUGCAAAACAGCACAAUCUUCCAAACUGCUGGAUGCCUCAGAAACGUCAAGCCUUUUGAGAAACAAGCAUUUGUGGAGGAGUACCUCAGAUGGUACAUCCUUGAAAGAAACCAAAGUGUCAUUCAACGAUUUAAAGAUGGACUGGAAAGUCUGAAUUUUUUAAGUGCACUGCAACAAAAUUCCAGUGUGCUGGCCCCACUCCUAUGCUUCUCUGCCAAGGCCCUGA